UGUAUAUUUAUUUUGAAGUUAACAAGGGAUCUCUUUUUGUAACAAAAAGCAAAUACUGUCUAAACAGACCAUCAAACAAACGGAACCCACAAUGAUGAUGAUCUCAAGAGUUCAGUCCCGUUCAGAUGACAUCAUCGGCCAUAAUACAAAUCAACAUACACAUGAAUAGCUCCACAUGAUAUGAAUUUUUAUUCAAAAGGAAGACUUAUCAUUAAAAAAAAAAUGAAUCUAACAUAACUCCAAUAACAAAACGUAAUGACACUUUUAAUGUUUCCUGCAUCUGUUUUGGUGGGCCAGUGUGAAAAUCUUCCACGCGUGCAAACAUAGACACACGCAAUAAAUGUGUGCUAGUGUCUGUGCUCACUUGAGUGUGUAGACUGUUCAAGGCAACACUAAUCACAUCAAAUCAUAAAAAAUGGCAGAUUAUCAAUAAAAACAAAAGUCAUGGAAACUAUAAUCUAGCUACUCUUUCCAGUCUAAGACAUUUAGCAUCAUAAAAAAUAAAAUGAUAAAAAAAGAACACAAAAUUACAAACAACAGUAUGCACAUCUACAGCAGAAUAAAAGUAAACAUAAUUUAAAAUUAAGCACUGAGUUGAUUGAUAGCUAACUGGAAGUUCUACUGCUUGUACAGGAGAGAGAGAGAAAGAGAGAUAGAGAGAUAGAGGGAGAGAGAGAGA